rnacentral:rRNA from 1 species
CCUACGGGCGGCAGCAGUGGGGAAUAUUGGACAAUGGGGGGAACCCUGAUCCAGCGACGCCGCGUGAGUGCAGAAGUAUUUCGGUAUGUAAAGCUCUAUCAGCAGGGAAGAAAAUGACGGUACCUGACUAAGAAUCCCCAGCUAACUACGUGCCAGCAGCCGCGGUAAUACGUAGGGGGCCAGCGUUAUCCGGAUUUACUGGGUGUAAAGGGAGCGUAAACGGUGCAGCACGUCUGAUGUGAACGGCCGGGGCCCAACCCCGGGACUGCAUUGGAAACUGUUGAACUGGAGUACAGGAGAGGGAAGCGGAAUUACGAGUGUAGCGGUGAAAUGCGUAGAUAUUAGGAUGAAAGCCAGUGGCGAAGGCGGCUUACUGGACUGUAACUGACGUUGAGGCUCGAAAGCGUGGGGAGCAAACAGGAUUAGAUACCCCAGUAGUC